UGUGUAUUCUUGUCCGAUCAUUGUUUUGUCUAGCAGCGUUAGAUGAUUCUGAAUAUUAAAUAAACUGUUAAUGACAUACAUAUUAUUUUUAAAGUGUAUUCUAUAUUAAUCAUGUAACAUUCUGUAUAUUAUGAGCGUCAAUACAUUAAUGGUAUAGAAAUGCACCAUUCUUAGAGAGUGUGGUUUCCACGAUAAUAAUUGUGAGAUUUGAGCUAACAUAUAUAGUGUUAUACGAUAAGAUAGUCCCGCCCCAUAGUCGGGUCGACUAAGUUUUAAUAUAAGCACUUUUGCUUUCGAUAAUAAUAACUUUU
rnacentral:lncRNA from 1 species